UUUUGUGGAUUAUUUGUGUUGGAAUAUAUUACCCCAGUGAAGAAAGAGACGCGUCUAAAGGUUUCAUCUGACGUCUCAGUCGUGCUCAUGUGAAAGUAAAAAUCUUGUGCAGUUUUCACAUGAUGUGCAACUUUAAUCUCGUCCAGAUGCCAUAUGUGGGCAAGAUUUCGACAGAAAUGACUUAAA